rnacentral:rRNA from 1 species
CCGUGCGAAGGUAGCGUAAUCAUUUGUCUUUUAAUUGAGGACCCGUAUGAAUGACAUAACGAGGGCUCAACUGUCUCCUUCUUUCAGUCAAUGAAAUUGAUCUCCCCGUGCAGAAGCGGGGAUUUAUACAUAAGACGAGAAGACCCUAUGAAGCUUUAGACACUCGGACAUACCCUGUCAAGACCCCCUUAUUAAAGGGCCAGACCUGCCCACCAUGUCCCUGUCUUAGGUUGGGGCGACCCCGGGGACAAAAAACCCCCACGUGGACCAGUAGAAUAUCCACAACCAAGAGCCACGACUCUAAAAACCAGAACCUCUGACCACAAUAAUGACCCGGCAAUGCCGAUCAACGAACCAAGUUACUCUAGGGAUAACAGCGCAAUCCCCUUUUAGAGACCGCAUCAACAAGGGGGUUUAC